CCCUUAGAUGUUCUGGGCCGAACGCGCGCUACACUGAUGCAUUCAACGAGUCUAAAACCUGGUCUGAUAGGGCUGGGUAAUCUUUUGAAUGUGCAUCGUGAUUGGGAUAGAUGAUUGCAAUUCUUCAUCUUCAACGAGGAAUGCCUAGUAAACGCAAGUCAUCAGCUUGCAUUGAUUACGUCCCUGCCCUUUGUACACACCGCCCGUCGCUCCUACCGAUUGAAUGUUCCGAUGAAUACCAUGGACUGAGAGUAUGAAUGGGUUCGCCUAUUUCUGCUUCUCGGGAAGUGGAGUAAAUCUUAACAUUUAGAGGAAGGAGAAGUCGUAACA
rnacentral:rRNA from 1 species